AGAGUUUGAUCAUGGCUCAGAGUGAACGCUGGCGGCGUGCCUAACACAUGCAAGUCGAGCGAAGCGGCAGCUUGUAGCAAUACAAGUAUGUGCUUAGCGGCAGACGGGUGAGUAACACGUAGACAAUCUACCUCUUAAUGGGGGAUAGCCCACCGAAAGGUGGGGUAAUACCGCGUAAGAUCCUGGUCCGGCAUCGGACUGGGAUGAGACGUCCGCAAGGACGGAUGAGAGAAGAGUCUGCGGCCUAUCAGCUAGUUGGCGGGGUAACAGCCCACCAAGGCUACGACGGGUAUCCGACCUGAAAGGGCGAUCGGACACACUGACACUGAGACACGGGUCAGACUCCUACGGGAGGCAGCAGUGAGGAAUUUUGGACAAUGGGGGAAACCCUGAUCCAGCGACGCCGCGUGGAGGACGAAGGUCUUCGGAUUGUAAACUCCUUUUGUCCGGGAAUAAAAAAUCUGUAGAAAUACGGAGACUGAAUGUACCGGAUGAAUAAGCCACGGCUAACUUCGUGCCAGCAGCCGCGGUAAUACGAAGGUGGCAAGCGUUACUCGGAAUUACUAGGCGUAAAGCGCAGGUAGGUGGUUGUGCAAGUCCGCUGUGAAAGCUCCCGGCUUAACUGGGAGAGGUCAACGGAUACUGCAUAGCUAGAGUGUGGGAGAGGGUACUGGAAUUCCCGGUGUAGCGGUGAAAUGCGCAGAGAUCGGGAGGAACACCAAAGGCGAAAGCAGGUACCUGGACCAUUACUGACACUGAGCUGCGAAAGCUAGGGGAGCAAACAGGAUUAGAUACCCUAGUAGUCC
rnacentral:rRNA from 1 species